CAGCCGUGCGUGGAGAUAAAACAGCUGAUCAUCAGUCACUUCCACACACGUCAGUGGGGAAUAACCUUCAUUCGCUGCCCUCGCUCUCCCUGGAUACCGUGUUAGUAGUGACCAGGAACAGCACUAUCAGAAAGGCUAACUACAACGUCCUGCAAGCUAACACGAUGCUGAGGCUGCUCCUGCUGGGGGUGGUGGCGGCGGCGGUGGCGGGGGAGGGCGGUGUGCAGGUGACCCUCAGCGGCGGGGUUUUCAAGGGGGAGACGCUGGAGGCGGGCGGCGAGCGGAAAGUGUUCUCCUUCAGAGGGAUUCCGUUCGCCAAGCCUCCCGUCGGCGCCCUCAGGUUCAAGGACCCGGUGCCUUCAGAGCCGUGGGAGGGCGUCAAGGAGAGCGUCGCGCCGCCCCAGUGUCCUCAGUUCGACUUCGAAGGUCUGAUAGGGGGCGGGGAGAUGAAGGUGGUGGGCGAGGAGGACUGCCUCUACCUGCACGUCUACACUCCACAGCUAUGUGGUGACGAGCCUCUUCCCGUGAUGGUCUUCCUCCACGGCGGCGGCUUCUUCAUGGGGGACCCUGACUUGGCUGGAGGCUCCCCGCUGCCGCUGCUGACGAAGGACGUGGUGCUGGUGUCGCCGCAGUACCGUUUGGGGACGCUUGGCUUCCUCUACACCGGGGACGAUGUGAUUCCCGGCAACAUGGGGCUCAAGGAUCAGACACUGGCGCUCCGCUGGGUGCAGGAGAACAUCAGGAGCUUCGGCGGCGACCCAAAGCGUGUGACGAUCUACGGCGAGAGUGCCGGGGGCGCCUCCGUCCACUUCCAGAUGCUGACGCCCAAAGCUGAAGGACUCUUCCACCGCGCCAUCAUGCACUCGGGCACCGCAUUGAACCCCUGGGCAGUCCGUCUGGAUGACCCCAAGCGCGUGGCAGCAGGUGUGGGCCGCCAGAUGGAGUGCGCAGGUGUGGAGGUGGACGGUCGGCUGGACAGCGUGGCGCUCCUCAACUGUCUCCAGAACGUGCCUGCAAGCGACCUCGUGAUGACAUCUCUGCAAGGCGAGACUUGGAACAACUUCCCUUUCCACAUGGUGCCGCGCGUGGACGGUGACUACCUGCCCGACUACCCCGCCAACCUGGUGCGGGAGGGGCGGUACAACAAGGUGGACGUCAUCUCGGGGGUGUGCCGGGACGAGGGGGCCUUCUUCGGGCUGGGCGCCCUCACAACCCCGGCGGGGGAGCAGCUGUUGUCAGAGUUCGAGAGGUUCGCCGCCUACUCGGUGGGUACGGACCAGGACGAGGAGCCCUACCUCCUGGCGCGAAGGAUCUUUUUCCACUACCUGGGCGCCGGGAACCUCACCUUGACGCAGAGCAACAUUGACCGCUGGAUUGAGAUGUUCGGGGACGUAUUCUUCAAUAUGCCUCACGACCUCGCCUCGCAGUUCCACGCCCGUGACGCUGAUUACGGCCACGGAGUCUACAUGUACCAGCUGGACCACCGCGGCCAGAACAGCUUCACGGAACUGGCGAUUAGAACGAACAUGACGAUUGACUUCAAGUGGGUGGGCCACGGGGACGACCUUCAGUACCUGUCCAAUAGCGUGUUCAGCGUCCCGCCCCUGGAGCGCACCGACGACCUGUUUCUGAGCGAGGUGAUGCUGAGGCUGUGGACGACCUUCGCGGCGACGGGGAACCCCACGCCAGACCUCUCCCUGGGCUUCCGUUGGACGCCGGUGACCCCGACCAACCUUCAAUACCUGAGCCUGACCCCGACUGCCAAGAUGAGGCCCGACCCGCGCACUGAGAAUCGCGCCUUCUACACUGACCUGCCCACGAGGGUCAACCAGUUGCUGUUCCCGGAGAAGUUUGCGGCCCCGAGUGUGGCGCCCAGGGGGGGAGCGGACGCCCGGGGACACUGCCACGCCUAGGGGGCCGCCGCGCUCCAGGGGGGACGGGGGAACACAAGGGUAGAAGAAGGGGGUGUAGGCGUUCGUUAAAAACAGCCGAGGAAGACACGGCAGGGAGGUGACGUGUGUGUGUGUGUACAGGCCAAGUCAGUGUGUGUUAAUUGGUACUGAAGAGAACUGUUAUACGCAAAAAGGAGAGAAGCAAGAAAUAAAGGAACAAUUUGGUAAGAUUAAAUUAGAGAAAAAUAAAGGACGGGAGGAGAAUGUGUCAGGAGAGUGUGUCAGUGUGUGAAGAUCAGUGUGUGAAAACUUGUCUCUUGUUAUGUGUAGUUUUUGGUGUUAAUUGGUACUGGAGAGAACUGUUACACGGAACCAGGAGAGAAGCAAGAAAUGAAGGAAUAGUUUGGUAAGAUUAAAUUAGAGAAAAAUAAAGGACGGGAGGAGAAUAAUGGGUGGGAGGAAGUAAAGUCGAGGAAGGGAGGAGACGGACGAGAAAGAAGAGAAGAAAAGAAAGAAAACAAGAUGAAUCAGGAAGAUGAAGGAAGGCGAGAGGAACAGAAUGACGCGCCGAAGAGAACUGACCAUGAAGACUUGCUCAGUUAUGUGUGUGUAUGUAGUGUUUGUUAAUAAAGGACACAUGGAAGGCU